UGUAGCUCCUGUGAUUAUGGAUUCACACGAACGAACGAGGAUGUCUUCAAAUAUCAAGUUAAAGGAAUGCAACCAAACAAGUUUUUCAAGUCCAUGGCUGCUUGUGAGAGGGGACUGCUAUCUAUGUUAUAUGUACUGUGUGUGUGUAUGUAUUAUGGACUUUAUUGCGACACUCUGAAAUUGAUCUCUUUCUCCUCUGCACGGUAUAAAUGGACACAUUUGGACAAUGUGUGAAGAUCUGGAGUUACCACUGAGCUCGAUCUAUAUACAGUAGAUUAUAGUAAUCUGUACAUUUGAUGCUUUGUUUAUUGGCGUCAGCAUUUUGGUAAAGCAAAAUUGGUACAGUUAGGCCUACGUGAAAGUAAUGCUCCUCAUCAAGCGGUUUGACGAACGCCAUCGAACCCAAUCAUCAGACAUAAUUGCCAAUAAUAAUAUGGAUUCGAGAUAUUCAGUAAUAGGCCAUGGUUGAGGCACAUUGGAUGAUGAAUAAACAGAACAUUCCUUUAGCAACUGUUUGAAUCAGAAAAUUUAACUCAACAACAUGUAGGUGACUAACGCUGCAAGACAUCGCUUCGAGCAUCCAAGCAUCAAACCAAAUAUACUUACGGUCACCUUUCAUGGAUAUGCGAAACCUGAAUCUG